rnacentral:rRNA from 1 species
UAUGUGAUCGUCUCUCGCAUAUCAAUAAGCGGAGGAAAAGAAACUAACAAGGAUUCCCCUAGUAACGGCGAGUGAAGCGGGAAGAGCUCAAAUUUGAAAUCUUAAAGGGUUUCCCUUUACGAAUUGUAGUCUAAAGAAGUGUUUUCUGUUGAGGUUUUGGUAAAAGUUCUUUGGAAUAGGACAUCAUAGAGGGUGAGAAUCCCGUAUUUGACCUUUACUUUCAACUUUGUGAUACACUUUCAAAGAGUCGGAUUGCUUGGGAAUGCAGUCCAAAAUGGGUGGUAAAUUUCAUCUAAAGCUAAAUAUUGGCGAGAGACCGAUAGCGAACAAGUACCGUGAGGGAAAGAUGAAAAGAACUUUGAAAAGAGAGUUAAACAGUACGUGAAAUUGUCAAAAGGGAAGCGUUUGACACCAGUGUUGUUUUUCUGAAAAUCAAUUAAAGAACUGUUUAUGCUAAGUUGUUUAGACUUUAUCAGCUAACUGUUUAGUUUUGAGCUUUUCUUUAAUGCACUUUUCAGUUAACAAGUCAACAUCAAUUUCUUUUGCUGUAAAAAAGCUUGAGGAAGGUGGCUUGAGAUUCGUCUUAAGUGUUUAUAGCCUCUUGCCUAUGCAGUCGGAGAGAUUGAGGUCUGCAGCGUAGAUCCUUCGGGGCUAAAUGCAUUUGUGCUAAGUUAUAGCAUUUUAUAGACAACUUGUUGACUAUGAUUUGUCUUGUAGCUUACUCGCUUAUGUUAUUUUACCUACGCUUAGGAUGUUGAGUAGCGACAUACGCAC